rnacentral:rRNA from 1 species
UACGUAGGGUGCAAGCGUUGUCCGGAAUUAUUGGGCGUAAAGAGCUCGUAGGCGGUUUGUUGCGUCGGCUGUGAAAUCCCGAGGCUCAACCUCGGGUCUGCAGUCGAUACGAGCAAACUAGAGUGUUGCAGGGGAGACUGGAAUUCCUGGUGUAGCGGUGAAAUGCGCAGAUAUCAGGAGGAACACCGAUGGCGAAGGCAGGUCUCUGGGCAUUAACUGACGCUGGAGGAGCGAAAGCAUGGGGAGCGAACAGG